AUGCUCUACCGAACUGUAAUCUCUAGCAAAUAGCAGUCGAAUUUUAUUUUCCACUUUCCGGAUGUCAGAAUAGUAUAAAACUUUAAAUCUAGCCUCAUAAAAAUAAUUCUGACAUAUCCUCCAGUUUUCAUAAUUUUCUGACACUGUGCAUUUUCUGCUAAUUUAUCUGCCCCGUUUCGCACAGAAAAUUCUAAAUCUUCUGUUUUCACUCCGAUUUCAGCACAGGUCAUUUUCAACUUAUAUUUCACUUCUCUAAAUCCAAUAAAAAUAGUAUCUCAUACUAUUUUUAUUUAUUUUCACUUUUAUAUUAAAAUCCGGUAUAUUACAUUCCACCGCAACUUCAUAACUAUAGAAGUUCGGCACCUUACAGCGGGGGCGCCGACGGCGGACGAGUGCGGUCAACCAAGAAGAGCCAGCGCUCACGCUGGCCGGCGGCGGCGGCGGCGCUGGAGGAAGUGAGCCCCCACGGGCUAAAGGAAGGCUCGGGCCUUCGUCCCUAGCAACGGCGAAGCCUCGGGAAGGACGGGGAAGGGCGCGGGGCACCACGGGAGUCGCGAGGAGAGGGAGCGGGGCGAUGACAGCGGCAGCGCGUGACGAAGCUUCGGCCGCAACACACAGAUCUGCACAGGGGGAGCUGCGGCGGCUUCCCGGGCGUGCGACAGCAGCGGCGACUGUGCCAUCGGGUGCGGGGGUGUCGUAGUGCCAAGAGGAGGAGCCCGCAAGCUGCAAGGUGCUACGGGAGGGCCGGUGCAGGACCCAAGCCGCGCAGACCCUAGCUCUCCCCCGCAGGCUGUAGGAGAGCAGCGGCACACAGUAGGGACACAGUGACUGGGGGAAGCCUUGACGGGGUCAGGGUAACGCCGACGAGGAGCAGGAGGGCAAUGCUACCUCGGACAUCUUCUCCAACCGGAGAGGAAGAGAGAGAAAUGGAGAUGGUGAGGGAGGAGAGGAGGGAAGGUUUGGCAGCCACUCCGGCCGGCCGGGGCAGGUCGGCAACGGCGGCGGCGGCUGCGUGUAGGGAGAUGAGCAGAGGGAGGGGAAGGCUGGUGGGGUUUCAGCUGAGGGUGGCAAGGGCUAAGGUUAGGGUUUCACCCAUGAAAACCAUCUUUAUAGCAUGCCAACAUUCGCGCGUACCUUCCUCCAAAAUGCGAUAUUUUCGCUGAGAGCCUGAUCGUGUGUUGUAGGUUAUGGAAACCCUAGGAUCUAUCUAGAUACUAUCAAACAUCUAGGUUUAUAGCCCAAAAAUACAAAUCUCAAUGCGAUAAAAAUAAAUGUGAAAAAUAAAAUAGCACACCGAGAUUUACGUGGAAAAACUCCAAUUUGGAGAAAAACCCACGGGACCAACACGCGAAAAAAAAAUUCACUAAAAGAAAAUGAUUACAAGGUGAUUACCGACUCCGCGGACUCGACCUCUCUUUAACCUCCUAUGGAUCUCGCGCACAUCACCGAUUGUCCACGCCCCACAUUCGAAUCCACGAACGCCACGCCUCAUGUCCGAAUCCACGAACGCCACUCGAAUCCACGACGCCGCACAUAAAAAGUGUCAUGUUUCUAUGUUGAUCCUUUGCUUAGAGAGUCGUUGAAGAACAAAAGAAAAAUCUCUAAUCAAAACUUAGAUCAAUUCGACAUAUAGAUAUCAAAUUUCAAUAUCUCGAAUUGACCUAAAAGAGACUAUAUUGUGGAAAAUGAUUUAGGACGAAAAACCUAGGCUCUAGGGUUACUCUUGGAUGUAUUCUCUGUAUAUAUAUGUUUCUGUAUGUAUUAGAGAACCCCAAUGUCAUAUUUAUAGACUUUAGAAUCAAUUAGAGUCGGAUUAGAAUCUAAAUCUGUCACAUCCCGCUAUCACCAAUUUGGUCGAUCCGGGCCCGUACACAGACGCCGAACCGACAGCACCUCACCUGUCCACCCAAGGCUCAACAAUUACAGCUACAUGUAUAAAGAAAUAAAUAAUUUCCAGUAUAGCAUUUCAAUAUAAAUGGCUUGCACGAGGGCAAGCAAUAAUAACAAGUGAAAGUAAACUAACUAAACAUGCAUUUACUAUAUUUUCAUGCAAAACUUUAAACCAAAACCAAUCAAGCAGAUAACUAUAACUAAUUAGAAAAUUUACAUUGAGUACCGGUACUCGGGUGUUGGUACCGGUACACCAGGACGCAUCUAGAAUUUUCUAAGGCUGAGUACCAAUACUCGGCCAAUGCAGUACCAGUACUCGGCCGAUGCAGUACUGGUACUAGAGCUUGGUACCGGUACAGAAUGCAAUUCCCAGAAUUGCUGCUCUCAGAUUUUGAGGAACCAAAUGUGGGGUACCGGUACACAAUAUAAAAACUUUGAUUUUUCAAUCCGGUUUUGAGGAAAUAGAAUCAGGUACCAGUACCCAAUAUAAAAUAAUAUUAUAUUCAAUUUAAUGGUAUUGGAUCACUAUAAACGGAGUCCCAUACGCACCAGAAGCCAUCACUACUCACUGGCCUCUCCGAAAAAUCCGAGUUACCAUUCACUUUCAGUGAUUAGUAAAGAUAGCGUAACUUCUCCAUCCUAACUCGUUUUCUCCUGAAACUUGACGAGUACUUAUGUAAUUAAAUUACACACAAAAAUAUUGUCAACAAAGGGUUUAGCUACACAGCCAAAUUCUCAGUCCUCACACAGUGACAUAGAGGGAAGAACUUAUGUCACUCUACUAACUGGUCGACAAGUACAUACAGUAUGAUAUGUAUGCUAUGGCGUAGCUCCCACUCAAUGGGUCGUGUCACGCUCUGAAAACGCCAUACAAACCUUGGUUUAGGUACCACUAAGGUAUCUAACCAUCACACAACUGAAGUCAUCUCUCUAACCUGAGCACUUAGGUUCGGCUAAUAUACAGACUCGAUAAGAAAUUUCACAGAAAAAUUUUCAUAUCCAACUCUUUAGAGUCUCAUCUUAAACUAAUUAAGGCAAUUUUUAAAUUAUAUCAACACUUCAUUCAUAAGGUAUAUGAACAAAGUAAUCAUAUUAUAACUACUCAAGUUUAAUACGAUUAUCUAGUCUCAUCCUGCUUACCACCUAGGUGCCAGGGCGAUCACCCGUGUGAGUCGGCUGAUCUAAGCCUGGUGACUUACCGAACAUGUGCCUACUAGUAUCAAUUGCACAAUCAUAUUAAAAGGAGAAAAAUAUAUUUUCAUUAAGAAAGCGUAAGAUACAAAAUAAUGUCCAUACACCAAAACCUACGAAGACCCAAACUCCUAACAUGGGUCUGGAAUAUAUCCCUAGCUAUUGGCUUGGUCAACGGAUCAGCCACUAUCCUAGUGGUGGAGAUAUGUUUAAGAAUGACCUCGCCUAGCCUAAUCAUGUCUCGAAUGUAGUGAAAACGAAUAUCUAUAUGCUUGAUCCUGCUAUGAUACUUGGGGUCUUUCACAUACUCCAGGGCAGUCAUACUGCUAGAGAACAUCUCAACAAGCUUAUCAGCUCAAGUCACAAAGUCGAGGUGCUAGAGAAAUUCCUUAGCCAAACAACCUCCUAAACGGUUGCUGAACAAGCAACGUACUCCGCUUACAUGGUAGACAAGGCAAUGCAGCUCUACUUCUUACUGCACCAGGAAAUUGCUCUACCUCCAAGCACAAACACAAAAUGUGAAGUGGACCUGCGCUCAUCUCUAUCACCGCCCCAAUCAGCAUCGCUAUAUCCUUUCAAUCUCAAGUCCCCAGCUUGAAAGCAGAGAACGAGAUCACUGGUUCCUUUUAAAUAUCGAAGGAUUCUCUUGACCGCUUGCCAAUGAAUGAGUUCUGGGUUGCUCUGGUAACGACUUAUCAAACCAACAGCGAAGCAAAUGUUGGGUCGAUAACAUAUCAUAGCGGACAUCAAGCUGCCAAUGGCACUCGCAGAAGAAACCCUACUCAUUUGCUUCUUUUCUUUAUCCAUUUUAGGGCAUUGAUCAAGACUCGGUGUGUGAUUCUUCUCCAUUGGAGUGUCAACGAGUUUACUAUGAUGCAUUCGAAAAUGCUCCAGAACCUUUUUAAUAUAAGAUACUUGAGACAAACCAAGAAGUCUUCUAUAGCAAUCACGGAUGACUUUCACUUCGAGCACAUAGCUUGCCUCAUUCAUGUCUUUCAUCUCAAAGUUGAGAGACAACCACUCCUUAGUGGUAUUGAUCAACUCCAUGUCAUUUCUAGCCAACCGUACGUCAUCGACGUAUAGGGAGAGAACAGAAUCCUUUUCUUUGUCUUUUUGACAUAUACGCAGUGGUCUUCCUCUAUCAUGGAUAUACCGAAAGAGGUUAUGGCUUCAUGAAACCUGAAAUACCACUGUCUCGAUGACUGCUUGAGACCAUAAAUGGAUCUUUUAAGACGACAAACUUUGUCUUCUUGACCUUUGAGUACAAAAUCCUCUGGUUGAUCCAUGUAGAUCUCCUCCGCUAAUUCUUCAUUGAGAAAAGUUAUCUUGACAUCCAUUUGGAACAAUUCCAAAUCUAGAUGUGCCACUAAGGCUAGAAUCAACGUAUAGAGGCAAAUCGCACAAUGGGAGCAAACGUCUUUUUGUAAUCUACCCCUUGUCUCUGAGUGUAGCCCUUGGCUACGAACCGAGCCUUGUAUUUAUCAAUUGACCCAUCCGCCUUGCGCUUAAUUUUUAAAACGCAUUUAUUUCCAAUAGACUUGCGCCCAGGCGGAAGGUCGACCAAUUCUGAUACUUAGUUCUUACUCAUAGAAUCCAUCUCAUCUAUCAUAGUAGCCAUACACUUACCGCAAACUGACGUCUGUAGUGGUUUUUUAUAAGAAGCAGGUUCAUUAUCAUCGAGCGGAGUGCAGAUGAAAAUAUUCCCUUCGAUCUUAAAAUGUCGACGGAAAAAAUGUCCACGUUCACUUUUAUGCAAUGGAGGGCCUGAACUGCCGACUUCCAAGGGCGUGCUCUCACUCAAGGAAGCACUCCCACUAGCCGGAGGAUUGCUACCACUUCCUUCUACGACUUCGGGAAGUGAUCGAUCACUCUCAAUAGUAGACGGAGUAGCAUCGUCCUACAACUCAUACAAUCUGACGUCUCUUCACAUUUCACCAAUGCUUGAAAAUUUCUCUUCUAGGAAUUCCACAUCACGAGAGUCAGUCUCGGUCAUACCACCAUCUGGGUGUUCACCAUACAUCACAUAGCCCUUCGAAUUUUUAGGGUACGUGAUGAACACAUGCUUGCUUACUCUAGGGCCGAGUUUUUCGAAUUUAUGUGAGGGGCCGUGAACAUAUCCAGUCGAACCCCAAGGAUGUAAGUAGUGUAAACUCGGCUUUCUACCACUCCAUAACUCAUAUGGGGUAGAAGGCACUGAUUUGCUAGGGACUCGAUUGAUGAUGUAGGAUGUAAUCAAAAGUGCAUCUCCCUAAAAAUUUAUGAAAAAAUGUGCUUGCGUCAUUAUCGACCUAACCAUGUCUAGUAGAGUACGAUUCCUCCGCUCCGCAACACCAUUUUGUUUUGGAGUACUAGGAAUACUGAGCUGUCUACUAAUACCCUUUUGCUCACAAUAAGUCUUGAACUGAUCAGACAAGCACUCACGAUCUCAGUCAGUGCGAAGCGCCUUUACACUUUUUCCUAUUUAAUUCUCAACCUUCGUAAUGAAGCGCUUGAUGAAAUCUAAAGCUUCAGAUAUGCGAGAAAGUAAAUACACAUAUCCAUAAGGGAGUAAUCAUCAAUGAAUGAGAGAAAAUAGCAUGCACCACGUCGGGCCCUCACAUUCAUUGGCCUACAACUGUCUGAGUGGAUUAGCUCCAAAAGAUGAGAGGCACGAGUAUCCUUACCAAAAUGCUUUCUACAUGCCUUUCCCGCCAAAUAAGGCUUGCACACAGAUAGCUCAACUUUAGCGAGAGACCCCAAAAAGCCAUCUCGAGCUAGUCUAUUCAUUCUUUCUUGACCUAUAUGGCCUAAUCUGGCAUGCCAUUUAACGGAUUCAUCACAGAGAUUAGAAGAAGAAAAAAUAAGCAAAUACAAACGAAUCAUCCUCCAAAUCUAAUUUAAAGAAACCAUCAACUAAUGUACCAUAUCCAAAUAAAGUAUUAUGGAAGGAAAUGUCAAGGCGGUCUCUGUCAAAAUAGCUUUGCGAAACUUUCCAACUCCACCACAGAGAGCUUGAUUUCGACUCUUUGCGCUCCAUUGUUGUCACACUUCUUGCGCUUGGGUGUGAUCCCACCACGCUUCUCAGAGCGUGCAACAAGAGCGAUAGAACGGUUCGCUUCCAAGCGCUCUGCCUCGAGCUCAAGAUGGGCACAAGCUUCACCUGGGACCAUUUAGAAUUCGGCAGUGAACGAAUCACCUAAGAAACUGUUGCUCAUCGUUGAGCUCGUUUCCAGCAGCCUUGAGGUCCCGAAUCAUGGCGCUCAUCACACAGAGGUGCUCAGCCAUGGAGUACUUCGGGUCCUUAGUGUAUUGCUAAAACUUGAGAUUUAAGGCACGUAGCCUCAUAGCUGAAGUUUGACCAAAAGUAAUCUUCAGAUUGUCCCACAAAGAAUAAGCAACACAUGCAUGUACACAAACAUAAAAAAAAUUAUGUACCAUACAGGAACACGAUUUUUUUUUUUUUUACAUUUAAUCACGAAAACAGAAAAAAAUACAACUUAUGUAAAAAAAAAUUUCGCAUGUUUUAUGAUCAAUUUAAAGAGAAAACUAAACUAAUUUAGUUUUAGUUUGUUUUAAUCGAUUUCACAUAGAAAAUGAAAAAAAUUGUAGAACUAAUCUACAAAAAAAAAUUAAUCGACGAAGCAUGCGGUCUAAACGCACGCAUCACAAGCAUGAUCAUAAGGCGAAAACAAGCAUACGGCUCUGAUACCAAUUGUUGGAAAUUUGAAGGCAGCGGGAACUUACAAACUAGAUACUAACAUAUCCAGGAACCGAAAUUGGACCGGAUUGCUUAUUUUACUAGCCUGUUUGGAUCGUCUUUGUCUCGAUGCUUCUAGAUCUCCCGCGUAUCUCGCCUUCUCCUACGGCUACAGCUUGUGUCGCGGAUUGGAUGUGUCAGACACAGAUGGCAUGAAAAUCGAAUGCGACAGAUGCCAAUCGAAAAGGUGUCACGCCCCGAGACCGCCCAAUUUGGUCCGGUUCGGGCGCGUCGAACAGACGCCGAGCGAACAUCACCUCCCAUGUCCGCCCAAGGCUAAGCAAACGAUCAUGUACAAGAAUUUACCCAGGAAUCAAUUCACGAGUACACAAUCACGAAGUGCACGACCAGUGCUAACAGGUAAGAGCAAGGUACAAGUAUAUAGCAUACAAGUAACAAUAAAGAGAGAACAUCUAUCUAUUACAUCCAUUCAAUUCACAAAUUUACAUCUCAUUUACAUUACAUUUAAACUUCCAAAAUAUAAACAUAAAGCUUACAUUUCCAAAAUGAAACCUCACACCCUAUACAUCAUCUACUCUCAAGUACAACGGGUGGCUCUAAUGCAAAAGGAAGGUAAGCUAAUGCAACUAGGGCGCUAGGCCCUUACCGCGAUCCUCGCCGGGUGAACUCGCACUCGGCCCUGCAAUAAAGUGGGGUGAGAACUAUUGUCCAUAGUUCCCAGUGGGUUCGGCCGCCGACUCCGCCGGUCUCCCCACUAGGUCCAAGUGGGCACAAAUAGAUAAACAGAUAGAUAGAUAUGGAAAGCUGUAAGGACAGAAUAGAAAACUACACUACUAUACCCGAAUCAUAAAUAUAUGAAUGCACGUUCAUAGAAAUAGGUAAGCAACUAACUCGUCAUCAUGUCCAAGAAGUAAAGCUAUUUACUUGUUCAUUAAUCUCAUGGCUCACCCGAGGGUUCGCCUACUACUCACAUAGCCAUCUUGACGCGUAGGGAGACUCAACUCAAACUACGAAUCCGAGACCGUCUGCGGGACCCCACAUAGGCUAUCCCUCGGGACCCCAAAUAGGCUAUCCCUAUCCCACGGGACCCCAAAUAGGCUAUCCCACGUGACCAACUCCGGAGCGCACUACUUGUGUGGAGCUACCAUCACAAGUUCUGAACAGACAGUGAGUAUAAUCCAAUCCUCUUAUCUCGAGGAUACCCUAUCCUCUAGGGUUACUAUCAUCGGAAAGUCAAUAGGUUUCAUAUACACUAAGACUCACAUAUGCCACUCGUUCUUUGUUUACUAUCAACUAGGUGCCACUCGUUCUUUUGUUUAUUAUCAACUAGAUGCCACUCGUUCUUUUGUUUUCAACCAUCGAGUCCAUUUUCAUCUCUGCAUUAUAGGAUUCAUAAGUCUCGACCCAAUCCUCAUCAAUCCACUAUAUCAAGCAACUAAUGUACACUAUGAUAUCAUCUAGGAAAGCAUAAGGAAAGGCAAUGCACAAUUAUCCUACAAUGCAUGUGAAUACAAGAUGCAAGAUUUCAAUGUACUAAGACAUAGGAGGGAGUCCAGUUGCUUCGGGAUGGUCACCACCCACCUCUUGGUAGUGCCACGAAAUUAGAAAACCCAACGUCGCUUCAACUCCUCGGGGCAACCAAACCCUCAAGUACUUGUUUUGGCGAUAACUCCGCACCCGCUCGUCGGAUCGACGAACCGUCUUCGCCAACGUUUUUAUAGACCUAGCAAUUAGGUUUACAGAGGGUUAAUUGAGAUCAAACCCCCAUAUUUCCAAAAAUUGCAUUUUGAACCCUAGGUUUCAACUUUUGCAAAAAUUCACAAAAUUGAUCCAUGAUUUAGGCAACAAUCAUCUAUUUAGCAUCAUAGGAUUCCAAUAAAUCCAUUUUUAUAGCAUAUAAAUAAAGCCCUAAAAUUCUACCAUUAUAGGGUUUUGAAGUGCCCUAGGUUUCAACAACGAGGAAAUCCAUGGUUCAAGCUUCAAAUUCGAGCUAGGACCAUCUAACUAGCUCCAAUAGGUUCCAUUCGAACCAAUUCUAAACCAUAAAACCCUAUCUUAAGGAAUCUACCAUUAUAGGGUUUUGGAGCUUACCUCUAAAAGCUUCUCCGAGGUUGAGGGAGAGGAGGAAGAAGAUGAUCUUCCUCUUCUUGGUCUUCUUCUCCUUCCUUCUUUCUUUUCUUUUUCCUUUCUUUUCCUUCUCCUUUCCUUCUUCUUUCUUUCUUUCUUUCUUUCUUUCUAGAGAGAGAGAGGGAAAAGAAUGUGAGAGUGGGAGAGAAUGAGAGAACGUGAGGGAGAAGGUGUGUGUGUGUGUGUGUGUGUGUGUGUACACGCAUGCAACCAGCCCACAUGUAGGUGCUGUAACAAUUGCACAAAACCCCCUCUCACACCUAUUACAACUUGUAGUUUCGCAGUUUGGAACAGUCGGAGCCCUUUUGAAUGUCCGUUUGCGCUCAAAUUCGACAGGCAGGCUUGGUUUAAUGUACUGAGCAAGAAUAUAUCUUAAGUUUUCAGUUUCGACCCCGUUUGGUCACCGAAAACUAUGCCAAACUGUAAUCUUUAGCAGAUAGCAGUUCGAUUUUAUUCUCCACCUUCCGGGUGUCAGAAUGGGCCAAAACUUUAAAUCUAACCUCAUAAAAAUAAUUCUGACGUAUCCUCCAGUUUUCAUAAUUUUCUGACACUGUACAUUUUCUGCUAAUUUCUCUGCCCCGUUUCUCAUAGAAAAUUCUAAAUUUUCUGUUUUCGCUCCGAUUUCAGUACAGGUCAUUUCCAACUUAUAUUUUACUUCUAUGAGUCCAAUAAAAUAGUAUCUCAUACUAUUUUUAUUUAUAUUUAUUUUUAUAAUAAACUCCGACAUACUAUAUCCUAACGUAACUUCUUAUUUUCAGAAGUUCGGUAUCCUACAAGAGGGCUACUAGAGUCCUCUUCUAUGUCC
rnacentral:lncRNA from 1 species